rnacentral:rRNA from 1 species
UACGAAGGGGGCUAGCGUUGCUCGGAAUCACUGGGCGUAAAGGGUGCGUAGGCGGGUUUUUAAGUCAGGGGUGAAAUCCCGGAGCUCAACUCCGGAACUGCCUUUGAUACUGGCAAUCUUGAGGCUGGAAGAGGUUAGUGGAAUUCCCAGUGUAGAGGUGAAAUUCGUAGAUAUUGGGAAGAACACCAGUGGCGAAGGCGGCUAACUGGUCCAGAUCUGACGCUGAGGUGCGAAAGCGUGGGGAGCAAACAGG